rnacentral:miRNA from 1 species
ACUUGGCUGAUUCUAUUAUU